rnacentral:rRNA from 1 species
CUGGAGGUAUCAGAAGUGCGAAUGCUGACAUAAGUAACGAUAAAGCGGGUGAAAAGCCCGCUCGCCGGAAGACCAAGGGUUCCUGUCCAACGUUAAUCGGGGCAGGGUGAGUCGACCCCUAAGGCGAGGCCGAAAGGCGUAGUCGAUGGGAAACAGGUUAAUAUUCCUGUACUUGGUGUUACUGCGAAGGGGGGACGGAGAAGGCUAUGUUGGCCGGGCGACGGUUGUCCCGGUUUAAGCGUGUAGGCUGGUUUUCCAGGCAAAUCCGGAAAAUCAAGGCUGAGGCGUGAUGACGAGGCACUACGGUGCUGAAGCAACAAAUGCCCUGCUUCCAGGAAAAGCCUCUAAGCAUCAGGUAACAUCAAAUCGUACCCCAAACCGACACAGGUGGUCAGGUAGAGAAUACCAAGGCGCUUGAGAGAACUCGGGUGAAGGAACUAGGCAAAAUGGUGCCGUAACUUCGGGAGAAGGCACGCUGAUAUGUAGGUGAAGUCCCUCGCGGAUGGAGCUGAAAUCAGUCGAAGAUACCAGCUGGCUGCAACUGUUUAUUAAAAACACAGCACUGUGCAAACACGAAAGUGGACGUAUACGGUGUGACGCCUGCCCGGUGCCGGAAGGUUAAUUGAUGGGGUUAGCGCAAGCGAAGCUCUUGAUCGAAGCCCCGGUAAACGGC